rnacentral:lncRNA from 1 species
CUCAGUCGUCAUACACAGACCGCAUCCCGCAUGUCCUCCAAUCCGAACAACAGCACACACGUCAAUCCCUCAACCCUGUCCUCAAGAUACUAAAGAAACAAAACUACAAACACAAGCAGAUGAAGACUUGUACAUGCCGGGAUAGUCAAGUGUCAUAUGGAGACAGCAUUUCAAUCUUCGCUGAGCAAGGUCUGUUUUGCUCUUUUAAAGGUAGGAAUCUUCCUUUCAUCUUUUGAUUUUUC